GGAGGCCUGGGUGUGCAUGGGUGUGGCACGCAAAGGAGAGGGUCCCAUGGGGCCCGGCGGGCCUUCCGGUGCUGGCGGCGGGGCUGUGGCGUGUGCCUUGCGUGGGGCCCGAGCGCCCAACUGGUGGCAGGCUCCGGGCGCCCGGCGGCAGGCGGUCUGUGCGGGUUGCGUUGUGUCCGGUGGACAGGCGGCAGCCGUGGGGCGGGGUUUGGGGCAGGCAGGCCUCCGGUGUCCCCAGAGUGCCCCGGGGAGACCUGCCUGAGGGACCCAGGUCCCGCGCGCCAGGGGCCUGGUGUGGCGGGCCUGGAGGGUGAAGGGCGAGCGACCCGAGCCCACAGCCUGGCGGCAGGGGACGCCCCUGGCCAUUGGCGGUCAGGGCGAGGUGCGGCCCUGCGGGGUCUCGCACAGGCUCCAGGGCCCUUGGGGUCCCGGAGGGUCCAGCAGAAGGGUCUGUGUUUUGCCCGGGGUCCUGAGAGCGUGCUGGGGAUAGCAGAGGGUGUCUGUAGGUUGCGGGUGAGCAGCGGGGGCCUUGGCCUCGGCGGGACUGCCGACCCAGGUUCUGGUGGGGAGAGAGGAGGCCGGCCGGGGGGCCUUGCCGAGAUGGCCGUUUGGGCGGGGUCGGACGCCUUGGCCUGGGCCUUCACGGGGUCGGCGGGGCUGCCAGUGCCUUUCCCUCGCAGAGUCCUUGGUGGUCAUCGAGAACCCUGGAGCCCCUGCGGCAGUUCCCAGAGACGUGGAGGCGGUGGGGCGCCAGGUGGCCCUGGGCGGUGCCGAGUCGGCCGCGGACUGGGGUCGAGAGAAGUGCAGGAGGGCCAGAGGUCCUGGGCCAGUGUGCGCAGAGCACCGUGAGGGGGAGUGUUGGGUGCCCGGGGCGGCAGUGCCUUCAGGGCGGCCUGGGCUAUGAUGUGGGAUAUCCUCAGAGAUUUGGGCGGCGCGUGGAAGGCAGGACGGAGGGGUCCCCGGGCACGUGAAUGGGAGCUGGGUGCCUGUGCCCUGGCCGGUCAUGGGUGCCGGCGGGGCAGAGAAGUGUGAGCCCGCGGCCAGCUCCCGGGGCCGCUAAGGUGUCCACACACGGGCUGGGCAUUGAGGCCGUGCGGCGCCCCUGCCCUGGCUGAGGCCGUGUUCCGGGGAGGGAGGACAGGGAGUUGCGCAGUGGGAGGCAGUGUGAGGUUGAUACCCAGCAGAGCUAGCCACGCCUGCGGACUGGAGCCAAGCCGAGCUGGUUCCAGGCGGGAGCUGGUGGCAAGGAGGGAGUCUGCUGUGGAGGUAAGGGGGCAGGUGGCGGCGGAAGGGGCGUGAGUUUCGGUGCGAGGGUCCCGCUGGGCCAGGGUCUAGUGCGUCUCCCGUGGAGAUGCUGGUGCUGGAGUUAGGGAGGCCUGGGUGUGCAUGGUGUGGCACGCAAAGGAGAGGGUCCCAUGGGGCCCGGCGGGCCUUCCGGUGCUGGCG
rnacentral:lncRNA from 1 species